UCCUACGGGGGGCAGCAGUCGAGAAUCUUUCACAAUGGGGGCAACCCUGAUGGAGCGACGCCGCGUGGAGGAUAAGGUCUUCGGAUUGUAAACUCCUGUCAUGUGUGAACAAGGCAGCCGGGCUAAUACCUUGAGCUGAUUGAUGGUAACACAAGAGGAAGAGACGGCUAACUCUGUGCCAGCAGCCGCGGUAAUACAGAGGUCUCAAGCGUUGUUCGGAAUCACUGGGCGUCAAGGGUGCGUAGGUGGCGUGGUAAGUCAGAUGUGAAAGCCCGGGGCUCAACCUCGGAAUUGCAUCCGAUACUGCCGUGCUUGAGUACUGGGGAGGUGACUAGAAUUCUAGGUGUAGCAGUGAAAUGCGUAGAUAUCUAGAGAAAUACCAAAGGCGUAGGCAGGUCACUGGACAGUUACUGACACUGAGGCACGAAGGCCAGGGGAGCAAACGGGAUUAGAUACCCCGGUAGUC
rnacentral:rRNA from 1 species